ACAGCAGUCGCCACGGUAAUACGUAGGGUGCAAGCGUUAAUCGGAAUUACUGGGCGUAAAGCGUGCGCAGGCGGUUUGUUAAGACAGAUGUGAAAUCCCCGGGCUCAACCUGGGAACUGCAUUUGUGACUGGCAAGCUAGAGUGUGGCAGAGGGGGGUGGAAUUCCGCGUGUAGCAGUGAAAUGCGUAGAUAUGCGGAGGAACACCGAUGGCGAAGGCAGCCCCCUGGGCCAACACUGACGCUCAUGCACGAAAGCGUGGGGAGCAAACAGGAUUAGAUACCCCAGUAGUCCCUGUCUCUUAUAC
rnacentral:rRNA from 1 species